rnacentral:lncRNA from 1 species
CCUGUGUUAUCUGUUAAAUUUAUUACAACAUUGGGUAGAUACCAGAAAACAUGAAUAAAUUAAAUGUUGCCUGAAUUCAAUUUCGACUACAAACAUAUACUCAACUUCAAUCAAAUCUAGCAGUGAAUUCUAUUCUUCAUGAGACUGAGCACAAUAUCAGACGGCUGAGCGGCCUUCGAUUAAACCAGAACUUUCAUCUUUCUGAUUGUCACCC